rnacentral:rRNA from 1 species
UACAGAGGCCCCAAGCGUUACUGAGAAUCACUGGGUUUAAAGGGUGCGUAGGUGGUCCGUUAAGUUCGUUGUGAAAUCCCUGGGCUCAACCCAGGAAAUGCUUCGAAUACUGGCGGACUUGAGGCUAGUAGAGGUCACUGGAACUGACGGUGGAGCGGUGAAAUGCGUAGACAUCGUCAGGAACGCCGGUGGUGAAGACGGGUGACUGGGCUAGUUCUGACACUGAGGCACGAAAGCGUGGGGAGCGAACGGG